UACAGAGGGUGCGAGCGUUGUCCGGAAUUACUGGGCGUAAAGCGCACGUAGGCGGCUCUUUAAGUCGGGGGUGAAAUCCUGGAGCUCAACUCCAGAACUGCCUUCGAUACUGGAGAGCUCGAGUCCGGGAGAGGUGAGUGGAACUGCGAGUGUAGAGGUGAAAUUCGUAGAUAUUCGCAAGAACACCAGUGGCGAAGGCGGCUCACUGGCCCGGUACUGACGCUGAGGUGCGAAAGCGUGGGGAGCAAACAGG
rnacentral:rRNA from 1 species